CUCUGGGUGUCAUGUAAACAGAUCUUUUGCCAACAUGAGUGCCGUCAGUUGAUUUAGUGGUUCGUUGGCAUACCAUCAGUUACCCAGCUGUGGUUUGGCCCCAGAAUAUCAACAGUGCCUGCACGGCAGGGGCCGGAGCUGUUAGAACCCCACUCUACAAAAUCCAUUUCUCCGCUGGAAUGAGGAGGACUGUCCAUAGAGAUUCCCCGCCGCUCCCCAAACACCUUCUCCUGCAGUUCAAUUAUGUC